CCAGAAGGCUUAGACUCAGAGGUCCGUGUCUACAGUAUUCCCCCAUCUGGAAUAUUUUGAUACAUUUGGAUCUUGCACAGCAAUCUCUCUUUCAGCUCACCGUUUCCAGAAACUUACAGGCAAAGGAACUCCAGGAAACAUAGUUCAUCCCAGCCCUGCUGACACGUUAACAAGUCAUCACACCACUAAAUAAGCAUUUGGGCCCAGGACCCCUAUGAUUCUUUCACCUCUUCUACCCGAGGACACCUGCAGCCAAGAGGAUCUCUGGCAUCCAAUACCUCUAGCAAAAUAUCUGAGGCCUCAAUCACCUGAUUAAGCAGAAACGGCGGUCACAGAACAGCAGGAGCAAGGUUACUCUCCGAGUGCCACAUACGAAAUGCGACCUUGGAUGAAUCCACUAUUUUAGUUCUGCAUCAGAAGAUCAGAAUGAGCCUAAUGGGAUGGACUAGACACCUGAAGAAACAGUGAGGAAAGGGUCAGGCAUCUGGAAAAAACCACUUAGCCAACAUCUUGUGAGAUGCUGUUCAACAGCUGCCAUGAAGGCUUCCAAAGAGCUACCAAAAGCACCCAUGAGAAAGUGAGAAGUCAGCCUACAGCACUCCCAGUUGGGUGAGAACUUCCUCCUUGUGCACUGCCUCCUAUUCCUUCCCUGAUCUUGACCCUGGAAGACCAGAAACCAUCAGCCUAGAAAAAGUCAAGUAGGGAAGACAGAAGAAAGUGUCUGAACUGUCUGCAUGUUUCUAGGUGCAGCAGGAUUUAUCUGGGGAGUUGGGAGUCCCUGCCUUGGCUGAGUUUCUCCACAAGGAAGGGGAAGAGCUCUUUUUGUUGUAUGUAUUUUUAAAAGAAUAGUGGGCUCUGAUUAGAUUUUUAUGAGCAUUCCCUGUUUACUGUACACCUUUGCAAUUUUUACCCAAACUAUAUCACACUUUACAAGUGAUUCUUAAACUUUCAUGAUUCACUGAGAGUUCCCUCAGAUUUCACUGCUUCCCCCCUCAGUGGGAUGCCAUUCAUUGACUUUCCUGAACUCUUUUCUUCCUGAGACCUUGUAAUUUAGACUUUCCUUUAAUGUGAGUUAUCUAUUACUUCUUAAACAUUAAUUUAGCUGGAAUGUAUCUCUGUUGUUUUCAUUGACGUAAAGGAUAAGUUCAUGAAAUAUUUUGACAAAUGUUGCUCAUUGCUCUCCAAUCCGAGGCAGCAUUUUAAACUGUUACCAGUGGUUGGAAGGAAUUAUCCUCCAGUCUGAGGUAGCAUCUUAAAUGGUCUGGGCUUCAUCAUAUUCUGACUUGCUUUAAACAAUUCCUUAGUGUUAUGAAUAGAGAACCUUCAUUUUUUUCAGUUUUCCUUACACAAUACCACUUUGAUUUUCUGAUAGAGUGAGGUUGUUUAUUUCUGAGUGAGUCAAUGUUGUUUUCUGUAGUGGAUUGGCCAACAAAUAACUCAUUUAUUAUUGCCAGGAUGUAACUGGUUUGUAUUAACUUGCCAGAUGUAUAAUUGAUGAGGUGAUCCAGUGUCAAAUUAAUUUCAUUUAUAAGUGGGGUGGUUUAAGAGUCACAAGUUUGGAUGUCAACUAUUCUAAAACAGCAUUCUUGCACAAUCACCUUAGCAACAGUAAAUAAUGACAUAAUCAUCACACACCAGAAAAAGAAUGGCCAAGCAUGAUCUAAACAGUUCUUUUCCUUAUAAUUGUUUGCCAACUACUUUUUUUUUUUUUUUUAUUACUUUACAUAUAUACUGGAAAAGCCAGCCAUGGAAGUGGAAUGAUUUGUGAUGCAAAUUGAAGGCAUAUGAAAAAAAAUUCAGAUUCUCCAACUGAGUAAAUAUUAUUAAAAUGACAUCCUAUGUGCAGGUAGGGUUUUUGUCCUAUGUAAAGAAAAAUGUGCACGUGAUUUAUGGGAAAAAAAGAACUAUAGUGAGUACUCAAUCAUCAAGAGUUGUGUGUAGUAGGCAGUGCGUGGACAAAUGAAAUUAUACCCCAGUCAACUUCUUGGAAUGCUUAGUACAAGGAGACUUGUAUUUCCUGCCCUCACAUUGCCUACAUUUUUUGAGAUUAAUGGAAAAAAUGGAAAAAGUUUACCAGAGAGACUGAGAAGACUGGAAGAGGGGAUUUGCAAGAUUUUGUAGAAAAGGGAGGAUAUUAUUCAAAAUAUUUGAUAGUAUGAUAAUGUAAAUGAAUAUACAAAACAAAAUUAAAAUAAUCAACACGUGUUUUAUAGGGUCUCAGAAGGGAAGAGGGCUUAAGUAAAUAAAGUAUGUUGUUCUGUUACUAAGAUACAUGGAAAGAUUGCUUUAUUGUGCCAAGCCAUGCAACCGAGAGCAGGAGAAAUUGCCAAGUGCCUGGAAUAAACGAAGGCUCUUUGCCAAGGCCUCCAGUGUGGUGUCCGGUAGAACUGAUGAUAGCGACCAUCCGUGCUUCUCAUGUGUCCUAGUUUGAAGUGUUGUUUCCUGGAGAUUCUUUGUUCAUGUUAUCCAUCAGUCUCUGGAAUCUCUCUUGUGUUCUGAGUUCAGUUAAAAUUUUAAUACGAAGAGAUGUUAAAUUUUAUCUCAUACUUUUUCUCAGUGAAAUGACAAAACCGUAUGGUUUUUCUGCUUUAACCUUUUAAGUGCAAUGAAUCACAUUUAUUUCACUGUUGGGCUUCCUCAGAAUUACUACAUUAGAGCAAAAUUGGACAAGAUAUUUUUUUCUUUUUUUAAAUAUUGGGCCGGAUUUUGUGUGCUUAUAUUAUUUAGGGUUUUUAUAAAAUGUUUAUCAAUCAGUUAAAUUUCUUUUAAUUUUCCUCCAUCAUAUUUUUUUCCCCCCAGAAAUAGGGAUUGAACCCAGGGCCUUUGUACUAAGGUAUAUCCCAACCCUUUUUUAUUUUAAUGCAAGGUCUUGCUAAAUUCUAAGCUGCCGAGGCUGAUCUCAGGAUCCUUUUCCCUCCGUCCUCUAGAGUGCCGGGGUUAUAGUGUUCACUGCAAUGCUUGGCCGGGAGUUUGUUUAGAUUUAAAUAUGUAUUUCCCAAAUUGUCUACUCAGCGUUCCUUCUUGUAUCCCAGAUCUUCAUCCUGAGGUCAGAUUUUUCGUUUCGAAGUCUUUUUAGAAGUUCCUUUAGUAAAACUCUGAAAGUAGUAAAUAUUGUCAAAUUUUAUUCAUUUAUGAUUACCUUUAUCUAAUUCUUGGAAGAUAAUUGUGCUGCAUAUUCAGAUCUAGGUUUGUAGUUAUUUUUUCAGUUAAGUUUGGAGAUAUUCCUUCCUUUUAGUGUUGACAAGUAUUCUGUUUAACUUCGUUUUUGUAGGCAUUCUCUGGGUGCUGUCUGGGUACUUUGAAUCACCUAAGGAAUUCUGUAUUCUUAGCAUUACACAUGUACUUUGAUACUGAUUUUGUUGUGCUUAUCUGAUUUGAUGUUUGUUGUCCUUCUCAAGGUCAGCACAUUUACUGACAUUUCAUCAGUUCUCAGCCAUUAUUUCUUUGAAUACUGCACCUUCUGGGUCCUCUCAGUUCUUUUCUUCUAAGACUUUGAUUGGACAAAUGCCAGACCUUUUAUUUAUUUUUUUAAAAAUCGAUUUUAUUGGUGCAUUUUAGAUAAACAUGAUGAUCACAUUCACCUUAGAGAAUUUGUACCCAUGCAUGCUAUAUCUUAAUUCUUUGUUUCCUAUUCCCUCCCUUCCCUUCAACCUUUUCUCCCCUCCUUAUUUAUAAAAACUUUGCUUCCAUUUUUUCUUUUAUUUUCUUUUUUGUUUUCCCUUUCUUCCUUUCCAUGCUUCUUAUAUUUCCUGGUUUGAAUGGCUAUUUGUUCAUAUUAUUCAUCAGUCUCUGGAAUCUCUCUUAUGUUCUGGGUUCAGUUAAAAUUUUAACAUGAAGUGAUGUCAAAUUUUAUCUCAUAUUUUUUAUUAGUGAAAAAUAAGACCGUAUAUGUUCAUCGUCUCCCUAAUUCCCCUUCCCAUUUGAAUAUUUUUCCUAUUCCUAAUAUCUAUUAUACGUUUUAUUUCUUAUUUACAUUUUUGGUUUCUUAUACCAGAGAAAUGUGGUAUUUAAACACAUGUGCUUGAUUUAUUUCACUUAAGAGUAUGGUCUUAGGGUGCAUUCAUUUGUGUAGAAAUGUUUUGAGUUUAUCCUUCUUUGUGGAAGAGUAGUACUCCAUUUUAUUAAAAAACAAAAACUUAUUCCAUUCAUUGGUUAAUAUGUAUUUGGGCUGUUUCCAAAAUUUAACCAUUACAACAGUUCUGCUACAUGAGUGUGCAUAUAUUGCUGUAGUACAAUGCUUUUAAUUCAUUCAGGAAGAUACCAAAAAGAAUACCUGGGUCAAACGGAACCUCUAGUUUUAGUUUUCUAAGGAAUUUCCAAACAGCUUUCCAGAGUGGUUGAACCAGUUUACACUCACAACAUUAGAGAAGGGUUCUUUUUUCCUUGCAGUCCCUCCAGCAUUAGUUAUUGGUUGAUUUCUUGACAAAUAGCCAUUUUUUCUGGGGUGAGGUAGAGUCUCAGUGUUGUUUUGAUUUGCGUCUCUCGAAUGACCAGUGAUGCUGAACAUAUUUUCAUGUGUUUAUUUGCUGAUUGUAUUUCUUUAGCUGAGAAGUGCAUAUUAAUCUCAGAUGUCCAUUUUUGGAUUGGGUCUUUAAAUUUGGGAGGUGUGAUUUUUUUGGAGUUCUUCAUAUGUUCUCAAUAGUAAUCCUUUGUCUGAGGAACAGCUGGUAAACAUUUUUUUCCCUCAUCGUGAGUUGUCUUUUCACUCUGUUGGUACUUUCUUUUGUUCUGAAUAAGCUUUUUAAUGGAAUGAGAUCCCAGUUGUUGAUUUUUUGGUGGUACUUACUGUGUUAUCAGGGUUUUGUUCCUAAAGUCUUUUCCUACACCUGUGUCUUCAAGAGUUAUACCUCUUCUAUCUUCCAGCAGAUUUAGUGUUUCUGUUUUAAUAUUUAAAUCUUUGACCCAUUUUGAUUUUAAUUUAGUGCAUUUUGAAGCAUAUAGGUCUAGUUGUACGAUUCAGCAUAUGGAAAAUCAGUUUUCCCAGCACCAUUUAGUAAGAGGCUGUCUUUCUUCCAGUGAAGACAUUUGACCUCUUUGUAAUAAAUAAGGUGACUGAAUGCAUUUGCAGUUGUUUCUAUAUCUUCUAGUCUGUUUCAUUGAUUCUCAGGUCUGGUUUUUGUUUUUUUUCCUUUUUCAGUCACAGUAGCUUUGGAGUACAAUUUCAAGUCAGGGAUUGUGAUGCUCCUGGCCUGCUAGAUUGUUUGAUUCUAUUUUUCAUGACUUUUUAGUAUUUUGUAUCAUUAUGUAUCACAGUGCAAUAAUGUUGGAAAUUUCUGUAGGUUACUCUUCUACUUCCCUUAUUUUCUCUUUUGCCAUAUCUAAUCUCAUAUUUAGUUAUACAUCAAGAUUUUAUUAUUUAUGGUAAUGUUUGUCAUUUAUAAGUUAUGGUUGGCUAUUAUGCAAACCGUUUUCUAUUUUUCUCUAUUUUUAGCUCUAUGUAAGAUAUAUGUGUUAUUAUUUAGUAUUAUGAACCUAAUAAUUCAAAUAUUGGAAGCACAAAACUGUCUUGCUUCUGCUGUCUAUUCUUAUGGUGUUUGUUUCUUUGAGGGUUUAUGCUGUCAUAUUUGAUCUACCUUAACUUGUGGCGAGGGCCUAAAUUGAGGAUGCUUUUCUCUAGAGAGGAUUUCUGUUUCUUUUAUGCUAUGGAUAAAAGAUGCUCCUCUCCUCAGAUACUCACAAGUCCAGAUUGAUGUGGGAUCAGGAACACUCAGACUUGGUAUCUGCCUGUGGUUAGCUUAUAUAUUAAUCAUGACACCUCUUAAAGCCCCAUCACACACCUACCAUGUUCUGUUAAUGCCACCUCCACAGUGUCUUGUCUAAGAAUUUGUUUUUCUGCUGACACUUUCAUCCAGGUCCUUAUGACCUCUCACUUGGAUUAUUUUAAUGGCCUCCUAAUUUCCCCUUGGUCUUAAUCUUUCCUCUAAUCAUUUCUGAUCCUAGCUGCCUACUCUUUCUAGAGUACAGUUCUGAUUUGUACAGUAUAAAGCUCUUAGUUUGCAUAGUGAUCAUCUUUUGGUAAUACAGCCACCAGGAUGCCUCCCCUAUACCUGUCUGCUCCUUUGUGAGGAGUGGUGGCUAUAGUUCCUGCUCAGUGGCUUCCUCUAUGCUCUCACAGUAAACCCAGACACCACCUCCCAUCUGGCUUUAAGUGAUUCUUUUACAAGAUCUAGCUGAUCUUUACACUGGAGCUCUAAUUCCUUGCAUGCUUCUUACAGUCUAACCAACAUUCAUGAAGUACUAAAAAUCUCUUCUUUUCUCUCUUUGCUUUUGUUCCUCUGGCAAGAACAUUCCUCCAUUGCUAUUUCCCUACCUUAGCAUUUUUGAUUCUCAGAUGAGGUAUUUUCUCUAAAGUUAGAAAGAUUUAAUGGAAAUAAAGAGACCUCAUUUUAAAUGCUGGGAACGGCCAACAUUUUGUUUCUGUUAAUUCCACAUCAGAAAACUGUUCUUUUACUGACUGAUAGUGCAAAGAAUACCCAGUUUGCAAAUGAAGUUUAAGCUGCGCCCCCCCCCACCAGCUGUGUUGUUUGCUGUGUAAACAUAAUCUGGGUGAUAACCUCAGUUUCUACUUCAGUAAAGUGGGCAUAAUCAUAUAUAUCUCUCUCUGACAUUCAUGGGGAUGAAUAAGCAUGUGAUUCACAAAUUGCUAUGUGCCACAUACUUAUAUAGAAGGGUGCACGGGACCUCACAAUUUACUUAGUCUCAUCUCAGAAGGAAGUGGUCACAAGAGGAAGAGGAGGACAGCUAAAGGAAAAUGUGUGCCUGGAAAGAGGAAUGAAGGGCGAUGCUUCCCUGCAGGAAAAGGUCCCCAGGGCAAGAUGUCCAGUUAAGCACCUUCCCCAGGUUUGGUUAUAUUGGACAGGGAUGCAAGGGUGUUCUUUGGGAGAGAAGAAUCAUGCUAGGGCUCUAGUGUCUUCCUGGGUCUUUCUGGGACUGGUCAGGACUGUACUGCCGAUAGCAAAGCCUGGGUCAGCCGCUAGCUGGUCCAGAUGCUGUUUCAUAAAUGACCACACGGCUGUGCCCUAUUCGCGGUCAGAGAUACAGUUUGGGUUCAGUAUAGGACUGCUGAACAAAUAAGUGCCUGGCCAUCCUUUUGCUGGAUGAGGUAUACAGAGAUUGGGGGACAUGUUCUGGGCAGCAGCCUGCAGCAUGUAUUGCCCUGCAGCUGGAUUCUCCUCUCAAAAAGAGGCUGGGGUCGGGGAAAUGCAGCCUGGCAAAGUGACCAGACAUAUGUUUUCUUAGUUUGAUGCCGUGGCCAACUCUUAAAGUUGCCAAUUGGAGCUUGAAGAUAGCAUUUUGAGCUCUGUCCCACUCACAUUUACUAAGGACUCUUCUCCAAACUGUGUUCUUUUAAAUUCGUUAGUAUUAGAGUGAACAUGCCUCUGUGGCUGUCCCUAGGAAGUGUAUGUGUAAAUCUAAAGAAAAGGAGGAUAUCAGGAAUGGUCAUAAAAUUCCUUCAAGUUUCACAGCACUGUUUAACACUGGGUGGUGGUUUUUUUUUGUUUGUUUGUUUUUUGGUUGUUCUAUUGCACUUGAUUUUGAGCUGUUUAAGGCAAGGGCUAUCUGUGGUUUACUCACAUUUGUAUACUCAGAGAUUCUAGAACAUUACCUGGAACAAAAUAUGCAUUUAAAAGAGGCUAUAUAAAAGAAUGGAUGAAUGAAAUAUUUCUCUUGAUUUGUAUAUAGCCAAAGCCUUUUGUCCAAUGCCUAGUGGUAGUGAUAGAAUGGGCAUUGGACAAAACUGUGGCACACAAAUCUGUGAGCUUUUCUGUAAGGCUAACAGAGGCAGACCCACAUAGAACCCUCAAGAAUGCACAUACUAGACUGGGAGUCUGAUAUCUCAAAUCUCUAUGUUUUACCAAUUCCCAGCAUAUUUUGGUACACAAGAAGAUUACUACUUUGGCACUGCCUUGCAAUGGAAGCACAUUAGAACUUCAGGGCAGAGAAAGCAUGCUUCAGGCAGUGAUGAAUACACAGAAAUUUUUUUUUCCUACUUUAAGGAGCCAUUUGUUUUUUCUAAUUUCUUUUUUGUUCUUUCAAAAUCUGAAAAGAUGAACAAUAUAAAAUAGAGAUAUUGUGCAACUGUUUGCUAAGGAAGACUGACCACCAAAGUUUUUCUGACAAUUUGUGGUGGACAUGGGCAAGUAAAACAGACUUCUGUUUGUACUUCCGGCCUUAAUCCUGAUGCUUUUAUUGAAAUUUGGUUAGAUUUCCGAGGUGCAAUAGUAUGGUGGAGAGAAACCUGUGCUUGGAGUCAGAAAGCUUGGGCUGGGCUGUUAUGCUCAUCAGUUAGAGAAUCCAGAGCACCUCACAGGAUUCUUGAAAACUUGAUUUUCUCUCUGUUAAGACAGAGCAAUGCCUCUAAGGGUGUUGUGAGAACAGACUGAUUACUGAUCAAGAAAAGUUUUAUAUAGCAUUAUUUUAUUUUAUUAAAAUGGAGUUUACUUGCUUACUUUUAUUUUCUUAUGUCUGAGUUAUUACGCCCCACCAAGCAUGACAGAUACAUCCCCCCCUCCUUUUUUUCUAUGUAAAGUCUUUAAAAUUUGUGUGUUUAUCACUAUUGUGUAAUGGUAUGGUGCAGUGUCCUGCUUCGGUCAGUGUAGAUUGAUGUAUUCAAAUGUGUUGCUACAAAGCAGAGUCAUGACAGUAAAAUCCAAGUCUGAACAAUAUUUGAUAUUAAUGUUGGUAUCAAUAUGGUAUGAGACAUGUAUUUUCAAAAUUCUACUUUAGUUCACACUGGAUGGUCAUUGAGACGAGGUUUCCAGUUUUCCUUGUGAAACAUGAGGACAGCAUUUUAAUUUCCUGUACCACAUCGGAAUGCCAUGACAAUGUGUAUGGAGACUGUUGAAUUCUUUUGAUGCAGAGAUAGUAUAUUUUAAAAAUGACUAGAAGCAGCAGAGAUAGUAUGUAAGUGUGGGUAUAUCUUGAUUCAUAAAUCUAGAAAUGAACUACAGAACAGUAUAGGAGGCAGGUUAGGAAAGAUCAUGUUCCAAUAGUCAGUAACUGGUCUAGUGCCAGAGUGACCUCUGUUCUGUUUUGACAAACAAAAUACCAAAAAGUAAGACAUGUGAAAAAAGUAAAGUCUAUCAAGACAAAACUAAACAGAAGAGAUCUUGACAGCACUUAUAUUUUUGAGAUGACUCAACUCAGGACCUAUGACUAUGGUCGUUUUUUUUUGUUUGUUUGUUUUUGAGAUCUUCUAACCUAAAGUAGUGAUAGUUUACAAGUCUUAUUUAGGAUAUUUUAUUAAAUAUGCACUCUUAAAUUUGUAGUCAAAUUAGAGUCAGUACUUGUAACUAUUAGAAGUUUAGAUUCAGCAUCUAAUAGUCCAUGGUUGCUUUUUCUAGUCUAGUCACUGAAACUUUAAAUUUGGAAGUAAUUCUAUAUGGUGCUUCAUUCUCAAAUGUCCAUAUAUGAAAGUUGUUCUAAUGAGUAACGUUAAGGGAGGGAGAUAAAUGCAUGUGGAUGUCAUGCAGAAAGAAGGAUGGGCUUUCAGACUAUAUCGUAGGAUAAUUUUGUUAAAUUUACUUAGAAGAAUGAAAUCUUCAGAUGACAAAAGUUUAAUGGAGAGUGAAUGACCAGGGUAAGAAGAAUUUGACUUUAUAUAAUGCCAGUUCCCUUUAUCCCCACAUCCAGUACAGAAAAUCACUCUAGCUAUCCUUCAGCUACCUUAGGUAUCUCACAAGCUCUUACACUUCCAUUGCUCUUCUGAUCCCAGUGUUAGCUGGUCUCACCUGGAUUAUAAGAGUCUGUUUGUGGUCUCUUUUUGGACCCGGGAAUGGAAGCCCAGGAUUCUUUCCCCAUGUUUGGUGGCUCUUCCAUGAGAAGGAUCAUUCUCUCUGGUUGGUGUUCCCUGAGGCAGGAGCCAAACCUCCAGGUUCCUUUCAGGUCCUUUCAGCUGUAUGAGUCUCCUGUGGCUACUGUAACAGGCACUUUAUUGGCUAAAGAAACAGAAAUUUAUUCUGAAAAUGCAUUCCACUGGACUGAAAUCAAGAUAUAACAGGGAUGUGCACCCCUCACAGGGUCUGACGGUUUGUUGCCCCUCCCAGCUCUGGUGGCUGCCAACAGUCCUUUGCUUGUGGUUGUGUCACUCCCAUAUUUGCCUCUAUGAUUAAUUGUCGUUUCUUGUGUGUGUAUCGAAUCUCUCUUCCUUCUUAUAAGUGUAUAUAUGGCUGUAUUCAGUGCCCAUCUAGAUAAUCCAGGAUAAUCUCUGCAUUUCCAAAUGCUUAAUUUAACCAAGACUCCUCCACUAGGUAGCAUACACAAGUUUCUGAGAUGAAGAUGUGGGCAUCAGUGGGGCACUGUAUUUCAGCCCUUCAGCAUCCAUGAAUGACCAAAGAAAGAUUUUACCAUUAACUCCAGUUAGAAAUUCCUGCUUCUGAUUCAAUGUAGGUCACUGGGGCCCCCUUGACCACUGUGGGGAAAGGAACUGUUGAAAAGGACUUGGGGUGGGGAAGGGAAUUGUCAGUUGGCUGGGGGGAGGGAUUAAUAUUCUCAAAGGGAGAGAUAGUUGGGGAAGCUGCUGGGAAGACAAAAACCAUAGACCUGUGAAAUGACACAUCGGGAACUAUUAUAACUCUAGGAAACAGAGUAAGAAAGUACAUAUUUAAACAUUAAGUUGUUUGAAAAUUGUUAAGAGCCCUGGAGAUCACAAAACAUGAAGAUCAGUGAAGAAGAAAACUUCACUGAGAACCAGGAGAAAGUCUUCCCAAAAGUUAGGUGGCAGUUUUAUGCCUUUUCUAGAUCUUCCAAUUAAGCAAGAGGUGCUGGCUAAGGAUUAUCACAUUUAUGUCUUGUUUUUGUUUUGUUGUUUCAGAGGAGAAAUUUAAUGCUUAUAUUUUUAAGAGGUCUACAAUUCAUUUAACAAACUCUGUCCUUUCUGGUCAAGUUUUGGGGUUGUCAAGAUGGAGAGCUGAUUUCACAGUGAGCUGGGAGUUUUAUCCCCACGAGGUUUGAGAGGAACCUGGUUUUCCUAGUUCAGAAGAUCUUGUUGCCUCUAGCAGGGCUCGCAGGCAACGAAAGAGCCAAAACCAGGUUAGAAUUUGGAAUGCAGAGACCCUAAGGCAGUGUUUAAAUUGCAGAAACUGGAGAGAGGAAGGCCAGGUGUGUCCUUGGUCUAUAUUAUAUUGUGCCCUUUUCAGCUCAUAUCAUGAGCUCCAUAGAAAUGGCCAACAAGAGCAACAGUGUCUAAGUGUAAACUAACUAUAUAUUUAGUUAGCUCAUGAGUAGGGUUGCUAGCUAGCGGAAGGCCCUGAGAUAGAGCUGGGUGAUCAAAAGAAUAAAGAGUACAGAUAUUCCUCGUUUAAGCAUUUAUCUGUUUAAUGACUGUUUGGAUUUACAACUAGUCCUUCCCUUUUGUGUACUUCUGUACAUCUUCUUGAUAGAGCCUCAAAAACCUUUUUUUUUGUAUAGUAAACUUUGUUUUUGUAAUAUGGUAAUUUUGUUGGUUGUAUAGUUUUAUGUUCUUUUAUCAUUACAGUACUGCAUGUAUGUUAUGUAAAUAAAAACAAACUCAUUAAGUUGGAGUUUCCUUUGAUCAUUUC